rnacentral:lncRNA from 1 species
UCUUGCUUUACAGUAACUCUCCUCCUGGGGAAAAGGCUUUUCACGGAGCAGGCUCGGAGCCUACGGGGCUGGCCUCGGACUGGAUGGGGGGUUUAUUUUCCCUCACGGCUCUCAACCUUCUCAAAAUAUAAGGUUGGCGGAUUAAUUAUACUGAAAGUCUUCAGUUGGAUAUUUUAUUAUAGUAUUUUUAAAGUCGUGUUUUGUAAUUGCCCUGACAAUGUAAGGAAUGAUAUUUGUGAGGGUGAGUCAACAACACCUUCCCUGUUGGUGUCUGCCCUCUAAUAACCCCACGGGCUGGAUCCCCAGCACCUGGAAGGAAUCAUCAUGGAACGUUAAUAAGGAGGAAGGCUGGUUCUGGCGCCUGGAACACUUCAGAGACAGAAAGCAGUGACUAGGCCAGACAGGCCCGUUGUUUUUGCGCUUUGAGAGAGAAGUGAGAAAUGGAAAGUAGUCUCUUUAUCUUCUCAGCAAAUACAGCCUAUGCUCAGAAUUUCUCCGACUUCCCAUCUCUGAGAUGCCGGAUGCCCAGUUCCACAGAAUCAUGGCAAGCGAGAAACUGUCGUUCAUAAGAGUUCAAGAAAAUGAAUAUUCUCUCAACUCUGUGAGGGCCAGUGGGUUCCAGGCGAGAUGAGACAACUUGGUGAGCGUCGUAACUGAGCUCCCAAUGCAUUUAGAAGCCUCUGGAUGGCCGGGGGGUGCAUUCCAGCUGUGCUGGAAAAAUUAUAUUUUGAAGUUAAAUCUGGUAGUGUUUUUUCCAAUAUGAAUAGGCCUCAGGAAAGAGAUAAUACAUUUCCUUCUUUGUUCAGAGGGUGCUCAACUUGCUGGAGUCAUCUCUGCUAUGGCUUUAUUUGCCAACAACAGAGAACUUGCUCUGCAGCAGCCCCAGGCUCUCUGGGGACCCCACAGGCUAUGCAGAUCCCCCACCCCAGAACCACAGAAGGAGACAGAGCAGAAGCACACCCCGUCUUCCAGGCCCAGGACAGCUGCUGAGCUCCAGGACACGGACUCUUGAAGGUUGAUUUUGACUACUUACUAAGCUCCAGCUGAACCAGUUCCACUUCUUUAACCUUCCCAUGAUCCCUGUGAGGGGUCUGUGGUAUUGCUAUUUGCAAGUAAAGAAAGUGAGAUUGAGGGAGGCUGAAAGACUUGGCCCCAAGUCACAAUGCCCUGCUGAAUGUGGUGCUGCCUCCUGGAUAUCCUGGGUGCUUCAACAUCAACAGCUCUUGGCAAGUGAGUGGGCCACGAAGGAUGGACGAGGGACAUGGGGGAGCAAGCCCAGCUGCACGGUUCCAGCUCUUUCCGCCACAUCACAGCUUCUGCAGUUGGGAAGACUGAACAGUGAUCUUCAGUUUGUUCGUCAAAGGGCCAAGAAAUCUGUGUCCUCACCUUCUCUGCUUCAAUUCUGGUGCUGCUUAAGCCGAUUAUCAUUUCAUGCCCUAAACCAAAAAAUAAACUCUACAAACAUCAACAUUACAUAGGACAGGAUCUGGCCCACAGAUUGGGGGCAGGAGCUGCUUUUUCAAUGAGAAGAAUGAACAGACCUAGUGGGCGUUGCCUUUAGACCCAGGUAAGAGGAAUCCCAGCCUUGGGACAUUACUUUCAAGGGCCAAGCCCAUAGGCCAUCCUUCUAGAACAUUCUUUGGGUAGCUAGGGCUUCAUAAGUCACUUACUGGGUUUGUCCUCCUUGAGUGGACUGUGUUGUCGGUGUGCACACCUGUAUUUCCAUGGAAUGGUAUCUUAGUCCUGCUGCUAUAACAAUACCUGAGACUGAAAAAUGUAUAAACAAUAGACAUUUAUUUCUCACAGUUCUGGAGGCUGGGAAAUCCAAGAUCAAGGCACCAGCUGGUUUGGUGUCUGGCGAGGGCUGCUCUCUGCUUCCAAAAUGGUGCCUUGGGGCUGGGCGUGAUGGCUCAUACCUAUAAUCCCAGCACUUUGGGAGGCCAAGGCGGGCAGAUCACCUGAGGUCAGGAGGUUAAGACCAGCCUGGCCAACAUGGUGAAAACCCCAUCCCUACUAAAAAUACAAAAAAUUAGCCAGGCAUGGUGAUGCAUGCCUGUAAUUCCAGCUACUUGGGAGGCUGAGGCAAGAGAAUUGCUUGAACCCAGGAGGCAGAAUUUGCAGUGAGCCGAGAUUGCACCACUGCACUCCAGCCUGAGUGAUAGAGCGAGACUCUGUCUCAAAAGACAAACAAAAAACCAAAAUGGUGCCUCAUUGCUGGAUCUUCCAAAAGGGAUGAACGUAUGUUCUCGAAUGACAGAAAAGACAGAAGGGCAGAAAGUGUCCAAACUCACUCCAUCAAUCCCUUUUAUAAGGUGCUAAUCACUCCCUAAACACCCCAUCUCUUAUUACUGUUGCACUGGGGAUUCAGUUUCAGCAUGAGUUUUGGAGGGAUACAGACAUUCAAACCACAGCAUUGUGCACACUCCUUUUUCUAUGGAAUGGCCAAGGUGCAGCUAUUUGCAGAGGCUCUGACAGAGCUCCGCUGUGGAGCUGGGGUGUCCACAUGCCUGUAUGGAAGAACUUUCAUGGCACCGGAGCCUGGUGGGAAGAGAAGUGGGCUGGGCUAUAGACUGGGCACCAGGGACUAUCACCUCGUGCCACCACAUUUAGUGUAGAGUUCCAGAGAGGCCACAAAUUCUUCAUUUGAACUGGACUCCCCAGCCUCAUGUUCCUCUGCAGGAUGUAAAAGGUAAUGCCAGCAGACGUUGGCAGUGCUGGAGACACCUGGUGGGCAGAGGUUACCUGGCUGGAGUGGCAGGUGUGAGGAGAUGCCUCCCAGCAUAAGGAAUGUGGGCUUCUGUUGGAUCUCUUGUUCCAGGCCUCACACAUGUUCAAGGCAGCCUGGGUAUGUCUUGGCCCAUUCAAUCCCUCAAAGCCCUGUUUAAUUCUCAUCUUGCUGUCACCUAUGUGGUGCCAAGAAACAAGUCACCAAAAUAAUGAAAUGCCUACCUAAGCUUAAAAACAAAACCAUGAGGUCUUUCUAAAUAAAUUAUGAAAAAGUGCAAACUGCAGGUCCCUGUAAUGAUUUCAAAGACUCCGUUCCAACAAUGCAUUAAUUUAAAAAGGGAGUAUAAGGCAAAGGGGGGUGAUUAGAAGAGGAAGGCAGCUGACAUCAAACUGAAUAUACCAAGUUUCCUCCUCAAAAACGAGUGUGCAUUAUUUGUGGUGACCAUUCUUGGUAUUGUUCUAUUACGUAAAACACAGCAUAGCAUCAUUCUUUUAGAUGCCAUUCAUUUAAUAUAUGGGCAAAUGUACAUGGUUAGGCUAGACUGGAGCACUUGUCUACACUGCU